rnacentral:sRNA from 1 species
CUGUAUAGAGUUAUUUAAGUCCGUCUGAUUCUCUCUUUAUCAUCUGGAUAGACAAAAGGAAGAAAACCUUUCCACCUUCCUGUAGGAGAAGGAGAUAAAUCCUCUUUCCAGCCUUGGAGAGGAAGACACAGCACCCUGGAGAUGUUAAGGCAGAUGUCAGUUCUUCUGUCCAUCCCUCUCCCCAGCCAGGAUAGAGCUAUCUUUUCCAUCUCAUCCUCAGAAGAGACUCAGAAGAAAGAUGGCAGCCCUCAGAAUGCACGUUAUGAGGAAGGCAGAAUGUGGGUCUGUAAUUCCUCCGUGUCCCUUCUCCCCCUCUGCAAACCGUCGUAACAAUAAUAGUUCCUAACACAUGGGAGAAUUGUGAGGAUUAAAUGAGUUAGCCUGCAGAAAUCACUUGAUGCACAGCACAUGGGAAGCAUUGUGUGUAUUUAUUAAUCCUUCACAAAGUCUUUGAGAUAUAUUUUUAUCAAAUAUUUAGCAUGGAUCCCGGUACACUUUCAAUACUUAAUAAAUGGUCAGUGUUAUUCUUUUUCACUA